rnacentral:rRNA from 1 species
UAGGGAAUCUUCGGCAAUGGACGGAAGUCUGACCGAGCAACGCCGCGUGAGUGAAGAAGGUUUUCGGAUCGUAAAGCUCUGUUGUAAGAGAAGAACGAGUGUGAGAGUGGAAAGUUCACACUGUGACGGUAUCUUACCAGAAAGGGACGGCUAANUACGUGCCAGCAGCCGCGGUAAUACGUAGGUCCCGAGCGUUGUCCGGAUUUAUUGGGCGUAAAGCGAGCGCAGGCGGUUAGAUAAGUCUGAAGUUAAAGGCUGUGGCUUAACCAUAGUAGGCUUUGGAAACUGUUUAACUUGAGUGCAAGAGGGGAGAGUGGAAUUCCAUGUGUAGCGGUGAAAUGCGUAGAUAUAUGGAGGAACACCGGUGGCGAAAGCGGCUCUCUGGCUUGUAACUGACGCUGAGGCUCGAAAGCGUGGGGAGCAAACAGGAUUAGAUACCCUGGUAGUCCACGCUGUAAACGAUGAGUGCUAGGUGUUAGACCCUUUCCGGGGUUUAGUGCCGUAGCUAACGCAUUAAGCACUCCGCCUGGGGAGUACGACCGCAAGGUUG